AUUGAACGCUGGCGGCAUGCCUUACACAUGCAAGUCGAACGGCAGCGGGGGAGAAGCUUGCUUUUCCUGCCGGCGAGUGGCGAACGGGUGAGUAAUACAUCGGAACGUGCCCUGUAGUGGGGGAUAACUAGUCGAAAGAUUAGCUAAUACCGCAUACGACCUGAGGGUGAAAGUGGGGGACCGCAAGGCCUCCUGCUAUAGGGGCGGCCGAUGUCUGAUUAGCUAGUUGGUGGGGUAAAGGCCUACCAAGGCGACGAUCAGUAGCUGGUCUGAGAGGACGAUCAGCCACACUGGGACUGAGACACGGCCCAGACUCCUACGGGAGGCAGCAGUGGGGAAUUUUGGACAAUGGGCGAAAGACUGAUCCAGCAAUGCCGCGUGUGUGAAGAAGGCCUUCGGGUUGUAAAGCACUUUUGUCCGGAAAGAAAUGGCUCUGGUUAAUACCUGGGGUCGAUGACGGUACCGGAAGAAUAAGGACCGGCUAACUACGUGCCAGCCGCCGCCGUAA
rnacentral:rRNA from 1 species